rnacentral:tRNA from 1 species
GUCCCCUUCGUCUAGGGGUCAGGACAUCGCCCUUUCACGGCGGCAACAGGGGUUCAAAUCCCCUAGGGGACA